ACUCCAGGCUUUCUUCAUCCAAUUUAUUGUAUGGUUCCCAAAUUGUCAAUUUGGGAACCAUACAAUAAAUUGGAUGAAGAAAGCCUAGAGU